UGUGUCACACCAAUUUUGAUUACAGUUGAGAGGUAAUUGUGUAUUAUCCCAAAAAAAUGAAAAAUAAACUCCCGCUGUUUGGAGAAAAGAUUUGCCCCUAUUUUAAAAACCCUUUGAUUCUGUAAUUUUGUAUAUUCUGGUCGUCCACGGCUACCAUUUAAUCUCGCCGGCGGUGAAGUAGUAUUGCCAGAAUUAACCAUGGUUCCCAACAUGCAAAACUCGAAAAGGCCCAGACUUGAAGAUCCAGCAGAAAUUGCAAGCUCAAGCACAAACCCUCCUAACAAAAAUGAAGUGCAAAGUCCAACAACUCCAGAUCAAACAGUUGGGGUCUCAGGCAGGAAUCAAUGUGUUGAUUGAAUUCAUAAAGUCCCUUUGUUCUGCUCAGGGAAAUCAUGCGUAUUUAGCUCAGCGAAGACAGACGGAGCAAUAAUGAUACAAGGAUUCUGUGUUACCAUGGAUUGCUGACUUCACAUAUUAGUUUGUGUAGCAGAUCCUUCUUUUACUUUUCCCCCUGGUCAAUUGUUGUAGUAGUCACUAGUGUAGCAGUUUUUAGUUGUUGUAGGAGUAACAGCUGUAGUUGACAGUUUCUUUGUUUCCCAUUAUUUUGUCGUUGUACUAAGGUGAUGAUGUUCACCGGUAAUGCCAUUCUAACAUAGAUGCUUUAACCUUUCUAGUAGUGACGAAUACUAUUUUUCCU